CUUUAAUAAGCAAAAUGCACUUUGGUUUGCAUUUUAAUGACAGUCCUGAUUUCGAUUAGGAAGACCUAGGAUUGAGCCCAGCUCUGCCACUUACUAGACUGUGAGGAAAGACUUAGCUAAAACAAGGACAUGAACUUUGUCCCAUGGAGUGACAGGCUGAUAUGACUAUGCCAGGCACCUGAGAAGGACAAGCAUUUAAGGGUCAGAGCCAGAGCCACAGCUGCCGCGAAGCCCUCCUAUCCCAAUCCAGCCUGUGGGGGUUUCCAGCCUGUGGGGGUUUCCUCCCCCAUAGUACAGAAUGGAACUUCCUGUACCCUCACUCAAAAACAUAGGAAGAGCACAGCAUAACGGUUAAGACUUCAGGCUGUUACUUAGGCUUCUGGAUUCAAGUUCAUCACUUACUGGGAGGUCCUUCUCCUUUCCAAGCAGAAUACCUCCCUGUGGGCCAGAGCCUGGGUAGAAAUCUUUGUGGGAUUGGCAAUGGCCAUCUAUGACUUAAAUGAUGGCCUUGAAGUCCAUGGUGGGCAAUGAGUUCCUCAGGACAAAGGUACG